rnacentral:rRNA from 1 species
UACGAAGGGGGCUAGCGUUGUUCGGAGUUAUUGGGCGUAAAGAGCUCGUAGGCGGUUUGUCGCGUCUGCCGUGAAAGUCCGGGGCUCAACUCCGGAUCUGCGGUGGGUACGGGCAGACUAGAGUGAUGUAGGGGAGACUGGAAUUCCUGGUGUAGCGGUGAAAUGCGCAGAUAUCAGGAGGAACACCGAUGGCGAAGGCAGGUCUCUGGGCAUUAACUGACGCUGAGGAGCGAAAGCAUGGGGAGCGAACAGG